UGGGGAAUAUUGCACAAUGGGGGAAACCCUGAUGCGGCGACGCCGCGUGAAGGAUGAAGUAUUUCGGUAUGUAAACUUCUAUCAGCAGGGAAGAAAAUGACGGUACCUGACUAAGAAGCCCCGGCUAACUACGUGCCAGCAGCCGCGGUAAUACGUAGGGGGCAAGCGUUAUCCGGAUUUACUGGGUGUAAAGGGAGCGUAGACGGCUGUGCAAGUCUGAAGUGAAAGCCCGGGGCUCAACCCCGGGACUGCUUUGGAAACUGUGUAGCUUGAGUGCUGGAGAGGUAAGUGGAAUUCCUAGUGUAGCGGUGAAAUGCGUAGAUAUUACGCAGAACUCCGAUUGCGAAGGCAGCAUACCGGCGCUCAACUGACGCUGAGGCACGAAAGCGUGGGGAUCGAACAGGAUUAGAUACCC
rnacentral:rRNA from 1 species